UUUAAGCUUUUGUGUUCUGUUUAUCCUCAUUCGGUCUAGAGAGAGGAUUUGGACUCCUCAAGGUAGUUGUAAUUCUUUUCAAUUUUUUUUUUUUUAACUAGCAUUUAUUGAAUAUUAUUUAUGUAGUUUUUAAAAAGUUUGUUAUCAUUGAUACACAUCCACGUGCACCGCGCGUACGAAGAGACUAGUUUGGUAAAAUGAAAAGUAAAACUUAUUGGAUGCUUCAAAUUACUAAUGACAUUUCAUUGGUCAGGUGAGAAAAGCACUCCCAGAACUUUAUCGCCUUGUUUGUUUAACUGAAUGUUUGGUACUUGCUCGCCUUACUGAUAGUAAUUACUGCAAAAUGCCAGUCAUCAUUAACGAUGGUGUUUGUAAACAGCUGUUUAAACUCCUCGAGUGAGUGGAAUGUUAUGGUUUCCUCAUUUAAGGAACUUUUCCACAUCUAACUUCCAAUUUAUUCUGAUACAUAUGUCAAUUGAUGUUUCAGGCAUCCGCUUCCUUCAGUAGUCAGCCCUGCCCUCCAUACACUUGGAAAUAUUGUUUUAAGAAAUGACAUCCAGUCUCAGUGCAUUGUUGAGUUUGGUGCCCGUUCUUCUCUGUGGAAGUUGCUAAGCAAGAGCUUCGAGGAAAUGGAUUUAAUGGAGGAAAUGAAGGUCUGGAGGAUUAUAGCAAGUCUUAUUAGAAAGGCACCUCAUAUCGGGAGCAGCAAUUCACAGUUUCCUGAAUAUAAGGAAGUAAAAGAAAAGCUGCUUGACAAGUAUUCAUAAGAGAAGCUGUUUGAAAUCUGUCAUCAACUAGAUAUACCUGCUUGCCCCUACACAGAAGGAAAGGAGGACGUGGUGCCAAAGUUGUUCAAUCUUUUGGAAGCUCAUGCUACGACUGAGCAGAUGUCAGAUCAAGGUGAAAGUCAAUAAAUAUAGUCCAAGUGAAUUAAAGUACGUGCUGCAAUUGGUGAAGUAGUUUUUAGCCGAGGGUCUAUCGGAAACAGCCUCUCUAUCCCAAAAAGGUUGAGGUAAGGUCUGCGUACAUCCUACUCUCCCCAGACCCCACUUUGUGGGAUUACACUGGGUUGUUGUUGUUGCUGCAAUUGGUGAAGUUCUAAGAGAUUGACAUUUUCACAGUGAGCAUUGAACUCUAUUUCCCAUUGUGACUGAAAUUCUAAGAUCAGUUUCCUUGCAUGAUUUGCUACACUACUCUUUAGCCCAUUGCAAAUUCGAGUUA